ensembl:lncRNA
GUAAAUCUUUGGACAGUAACACCCACAUGCAAAUUGGUGCUUAGCUCUGUGAGUGAGAUGAGGAGGGAAGCAUGGAUAUCUGGUGAAUUUCUUGACUCAUCUGGAAGUUUCUACUCAUACUUGGAGUACAUGCACCUUCAUCCAUCAAUAACCCUCUGCUGCCCUCAUCCUCCCCACCCUUGGAGCUUGAGCUUGGCAUAGGAUUUGCCUCACUCAGUUGCUAGCCUGAGGAUAUCGCUAAUUUCUACGGCAUUCCGACAUAUUUGUCCUCAUCAUCUCUCCAACAGCUUUAAGAAUUGUCACAGUGAAUUUUGAACACUAAAACUCAAAAAUGUAUUCUCUUGUACAUUCUAGGCCUUUUUGUUGAUAAUUAUGAGCCUCAUGAAUUGAAUUUGUUACUUUGUCCCGUGGCAAAAACUUUGAAAGUAAAAUUGUGAGCUUUAGUCUUUAUUGUAUCAUUGUACUCUAAAAUAUAUGUUCAAAUAGAUUUUCCAUACUGUAUAGUAGUGCACAGUGUAGAGAACAUUUGUAACUAGGUCAACAAACAGUUUCUAGGCACCACCAAGGAAAUCAUUUUGUUAUACCCGCAUUAGAAUAUUACCCGAGUAACGGGACAAGAAUGACUCAUUAGGUCCUUGGUUGGAGUGCUUGGUGAUGCAAGUGAUGCUAAAUUGAGGGCUCAGAAGACUGAUGCAGUUGUGAAAGUCUCUUUAAGAGGUCAUAAGUGACUUUCUUCCAAAACACAAAAGAAUCAAAUAGGAGAAUGUGUUGGACUGAGAGAAAAGAAAAUAUAGAAAGCAUUGGAGAAAAGACCUAAAGGAAUUCCUCUUCCGCUCUGAGAAUGCACGUGCAGACUGAUUAUCACCCAUGAGUCUUAGAGGAAGCAAAAGAAGCUGGUCCACACUCAACACCUUGUCCUGCGUAAUCUAGAAGGGUAAAAGAAUAAUCAGUUGCUGCCCUUUGGGGUUGGGGCCACCAGUGUGAGAAUGAUACGAGACACCUGGAUCUGAAAAGGAAGAAUUCAUACAUCUUCAGUCAUUGUGCCUAACAAAAGCACUUUCAAAAAGAUCAAGAAUUUGGUAGCAUGGAGAAAAGAAACUCUCUGCUUCAUAUCCAAGCUAUGGAUAUAGUGUCUAUUUUGUUUUAUUCAUUGAGUCAGUACUUAUUGCUUCCUGUAAAUGAGAUACUAAGAAAAGGACGCAACACUGACCAAGCACAUAUGAUUCCUAUCCUCACACAGCUUGCCAUCCCAUGAGGAGAUAGAUUCCACACUCACCCGCCCUCUCUCCCUUUCUGCCUCCUUUGCUGGCUCUUCCUUAUCUCCUGACCUCUAGAUUCUAGAGUGCUCCAGACCUGAAUCCCUGAACUGCUUCUCUCUUUUAUAUACGUGCUUCCUCUAGUUCAUCUCAUCCAGUCUCAUGGCUGUGAGUACCAUCCACACACUAAAGACUCCCAAAUUUACAUCUCCCAUCGGAACCCCUCCUCUGAAUUCCUAAUGCCUGCCCAACAAAUCACUUGGAAGGCAUUUCAAACAAGAUGACUAAAACCGAACUCCUGAUAACCACCUGUCUGCCCCCUCCCUCAAGCUCCAGACUGGCCCUCUCUCCAGUCUUCCCCAUCAAAUAUAACGGCAACUGCAUCCUUCCAGUUAUCAACCAAAAACUCCGUGUCAUCCUUGAUAUCUUCCCUUCUUUUACACUCUGCACAAAAUUUGUCAGUAAAUUCUCUUUAUCUUCAGAACAUGUCCGUAAUUGACUGUUUAUCGUACAUCAACCCAGCCCAAGACACAAUUAUUUUUGCUAUUUUCCUGCAAUCACUUCCUGACUGCCCUCCCUGUUCUAUGUGUUUGUCCAGCUUCAGCGUAUUCUCCAAAGUGCAGAGAUAGAGAUUCUAUUAAAAUAUAAUCUCAUCUGUCUACUCACAACCUUUGAUUGGCUUCCUAACUCACUUAGAAUAAAAGCUAAAAGCCUUACCAUGAUAUGUGGGCACCUAUGUGAUCUAGCCCCCAUCACGUCUCUGAGCACAUCUCCCCCAACUUCUGCCUUUUCCAUUUCAUCUUAACUAAACUGACCUCAUCACUGUUCUUUAAAGAGAACAGGGAAGCCCCUUGACCACUGCUUUGCACUUAAUAUUCCCUCUGCCUGAAAUGUUCUUUCCCCUAAUAAUCCAAAUGAUCUAAGAAAGCAGU